rnacentral:pre_miRNA from 1 species
GUACUACUCCCUAUGUUCCAAAAUUCUUGUCUUAGAUUUGUCUAGGUAUGAAUGUAUCUAGUCAUAUUUUAGUAUUUCGAUACAUCCACUUCAAGACAAUCCCAAAACAAGAAUUUUAGGACAGAGGGAGUAGUAA